rnacentral:rRNA from 1 species
GAACGCGAAGAACCUUACCAGGUCUUGACAUCCUGUGCUACACCUAGAGAUAGGUGGUUCCCUUCGGGGACGCAGAGACAGGUGGUGCAUGGCUGUCGUCAGCUCGUGUCGUGAGAUGUUGGGUUAAGUCCCGCAACGAGCGCAACCCUUGUCUUUAGUUGCCAUCAUUAAGUUGGGCACUCUAAAGAGACUGCCGGUGACAAACCGGAGGAAGGUGGGGAUGACGUCAAGUCAUCAUGCCCCUUAUGACCUGGCUACACACGUGCUACAAUGGGCAGUACAACGAGAAGCGAACCCGCGAGGGUAAGCGGAUCUCUUAAAGCUGUUCUCAGUUCGGACUGCAGGCUGCAACUCGCCUGCACGAAGCUGGAAUCGCUAGUAAUCGCGGAUCAGCACGCCGCGGUGAAUACGUUCCCGGGUCUUGUACACACC